GAAAUGCGAUAAGUAAUGCGAAUUGCAGAAUUUCCGUGAGUCAUCGAAUCUUUGAACGCACAUUGCGCCCAUUGGUAUUCCGAUGGGCAUGCCUGUUCGAGCGUCAUUAUCUUCCCUCAAACCUCGGGUUUGGUGUUGGGGAUCGGGCUGCGGUUCUCCGCGUCCCGGCCCCGAAAUCUAGUGGCGGUCUCGCUGCAGCCUCCAUUGCGUAGUAGCUAACACCUCGCAACUGGAACGCGGCGCGGCCAAGCCGUUAAACCCCCAACUUCUGAAUGUUGACCUCGGAUCAGGUAGGAAUACCCGCUGAACUUAAGC
rnacentral:misc_RNA from 1 species